rnacentral:rRNA from 1 species
CGGCGGACGGGUGAGUAAUGCCUAGGAAUCUGCCUGGUAGUGGGGGACAACGUUUCGAAAGGGACGCUAAUACCGCAUACGUCCUACGGGAGAAAGCAGGGGACCUUCGGGCCUUGCGCUAUCAGAUGAGCCUAGGUCGGAUUAGCUAGUUGGUGAGGUAAUGGCUCACCAAGGCGACGAUCCGUAACUGGUCUGAGAGGAUGAUCAGUCACACUGGAACUGAGACACGGUCCAGACUCCUACGGGAGGCAGCAGC